UACGUAGGGUGCAAGCGUUGUCCGGAAUUAUUGGGCGUAAAGAGCUCGUAGGUGGUUUGUCGCGUUGUUCGUGAAAACUCACAGCUUAACUGUGGGCGUGCGGGCGAUACGGGCAGACUGGAGUACUGCAGGGGAGACUGGAAUUCCUGGUGUAGCGGUGGAAUGCGCAGAUAUCAGGAGGAACACCAAUGGCGAAGGCAGCUCGCUGGAACGGUACUGACGCUGAGGCGCGAAAGCGUGGGGAGCAAACAGG
rnacentral:rRNA from 1 species